UACGUAGGGGGCAAGCGUUGUCCGGAUUUAUUGGGCGUAAAGAGCUCGUAGGUGGUUCGGUAAGUCGGAUGUGAAAUCUCCAGGCUCAACCUGGAGGGGUCAUUCGAUACUGCCGUGACUAGAGUUCGGUAGGGGAGUGUGGAAUUCCUGGUGGAGCGGUGAAAUGCGCAGAUAUUGGGAGGAACACCAGUGGCGAAGGCGGCUCACUGGACCGGUACUGACGCUGAGGCGCGAAAGCGUGGGGAGCAAACGGG
rnacentral:rRNA from 1 species